CACACAAACAAUGACACUUAUUCUUGUUUUUUAAGUGACAAAGUGCCUAUUGAGAC
rnacentral:sRNA from 1 species